rnacentral:rRNA from 1 species
AGGGUCUGACUCCGGAGAGGGAGCCUGAGAAACGGCUACCACUUCUAAGGAAGGCAGCAGGCGCGCAAAUUACCCACUCCUGGCACAGGGAGGUAGUGACGAAAAAUACCAAGGUCAGGCUCAUCGAGCUUGACCAUUGGAAUGAGAACAAUGUAAAUCCUUUAACGAGGAUCUAGUGGAGGGCAAGUCUGGUGCCAGCAGCCGCGGUAAUUCCAGCUCCGCAAGUGUAUUCCUAUACUGUUGCGUUUAAAUAGCUCGUAGUUGGAUCUGCGUGUUUAGCGCGCGGUGCCAUUUGUUUUGGUUACUGUGUCGCGGCACAGAGCUGCUUGUUGUCGCGAUGCUCUCGCGAGUGUCGUGGUCAUGAGCGAAGUUUACUUUGAACAAAUCAGAGUGCUCAAAACGGGCGUUUCGCUCGAAUGUUCUUGC